rnacentral:rRNA from 1 species
UUGGACGGGGCCCGCACAAGCGGUGGAGCAUGUGGUUUAAUUCGAAGCAACGCGAAGAACCUUACCAGGUCUUGACAUCCCGAUGCUAUUUCUAGAGAUAGAAAGUUACUUCGGUACAUCGGUGACAGGUGGUGCAUGGUUGUCGUCAGCUCGUGUCGUGAGAUGUUGGGUUAAGUCCCGCAACGAGCGCAACCCCCGCCGUUAGUUGCCAGCGGUUCGGCCGGGCACUCUAACGGGACUGCCCGCGAAAGCGGGAGGAAGGAGGGGACGACGUCUGGUCAGCAUGGCCCUUACGGCCUGGGCGACACACGUGCUACAAUGCCCACUACAAAGCGAUGCCACCCGGCAACGGGGAGCUAAUCGCAAAAAGGUGGGCCCAGUUCGGAUUGGGGUCUGCAACCCGACCCCAUGAAGCCGGAAUCGCUAGUAAUCGCGGAUCAGCCAUGCCGCGGUGAAUACGUUCCCGGGCCUU